CCUAAAAAUCUUAUCAAGAUAGCACAGUUGGGUUUUCCUCCUUACAAAACAAUAUUUCUUAAAAUGAGAUUAUGCCGUUAAGUAUAAAAUAUUAUUAGGGUUCAUAUUUCUACUCUGAAAUGCACCUCCUUAUAUUGUUACAGUCUUGUGUAGGAGCUGUUCUCAAAUAAUCUUUCCUCAAUGACAGUAGUUCUCCCUCCCAAACUCCUUUUCUUUCUGUGUGCCAACCUUGCUGUCUGAUUGUUCACUCACAUACAGGAUCUAUGCUCAUACAGAAUUACAGCAGCAACUUGGAUGAAAAUGUGCCCCCAGUAUUCCAGAAGGGCAAAACCACACAGACAGCAUACCAAGAUGAGCCUGAGGUAAGUACACCAAGCGUUGACAUUUGUCACUUGCUGCUACCAAGAGGCAAAAAAUGGCAUUCAUGAGGCAAGGAUGAGAGCAUGAGCAUGUACUUAAACAAAGCAUUUUCUGACGAAGUAUGCAGUUCUCUGUUGUGGUGGCUUCUUUCAAUAGCCGCUUCCUGUCAUCGUGCUGCUAAGCUUCUAGUAAACACUGUCACCGCUUUUGUAACAUUUUAUAAGCUCCUUUCCACUUCAGCAUUAGGAAACUCAGCUCUACUCUCUCCAGGUAUUCCCAGUUGGUUCAUAAUGUCUCUUGUCAUUCUCCUGUAAUGGUAAGAAACUGUUCAUUACUUCAGAUCAAACUGUGCCUUUUAGGCUGGUUAUAGCACUGUGAAUGGUACUCCAGUGGCUUAUUUGAUUGAUGAGUUGUAAUAACUGCUUUUGGAUCCCUUUGUUGUGACAAUAGUUCUUCAGCUUCAUCCAUGUAUAAUAAAUAGCCUAACAAACACAUUAUUUCAUUUCUUUAUUAAGUCAUUAAUUACACUGCAAGUUCUUUAACUGCAGCAGAAGAGUUUCUGGAUAAAACCAACUUAUUGUCAUCAUUGUUGAAUGCACUACUCUUACAUGGACUAUGUGGAAGUAAAUCUAUACGUAACAGAACCUGCUAACACCACCAGUCUUUUCACUUAACACUUUUAGUCAAACCACAUUUUAUCUAACCUGGAACUAUUUGUUUGUUUUGGUAAUAGAAAGAUCAAAAUGUUCUUUUUAAUGCUUUUGUCAUGGAUUAAGAGAGAAUGUAUGGGCCACAUGUUCAAGUAAGCCAAAAGCUGUAUUUCUGUAAAAAUGGAUGAACCCAAAAUUUUCCUGAGUUUCAAUCAGUUGUAACAAAGAGAAAAUAUAGAGAAUACAGACAGUACAAAUACACAACAGCUGUUUACAUAUAAACACAUGCCAUUCAGCUAGUCAAAAAAUUAUUCAGACACCACCAUUUCAAAGGCAUAUUACUGACAUAUGGUGUCUGACAUGUUUCCACAACUGAGUACACUGGCUUUGAUGACAACCAUGAAAAUCACAUCUUUCCAUGUGAGCAGUUAUCAGAGAAACAGUCACAUGAAGACUAUUCUUACUGAUUCGAAAGGACUGCAAGAACCAAGGUAAGUCUUCUAGCUUUUCAAAACACCAGCCUCCUUUGCUUCAACCAUUCCAUACCCUGUUCCUCACCUCACAAUGGGACCCCAUGAACAGCAGAGCAUAACUGCUGCUGCUAUUGAGCUGUUCUCCCAGAGGCAGGCAAACAGACUCAAUUAGACACAACAGGCUAUUCCCAGAGCUAGUCUCCAAACUGACAGCUUGAGAUCCUUGGCAUAUGGCUUGCGGUUUCACUGUGUACGGAAGGUUACUAUUUUGUUAUAGGAAAACUAGAUAUUAAAGCCUCCUGUGGAGCUGAGUCAGGUUAAGGCAGGGCUAGAUACUCAAGUCUUCUAGCCCUGUCAGGACUUGAGGAUAUCUCAGUGGAAAAAGGUUUCUGGCUCUGCAGGCCAGAAUCUCAAGUACCAACUUAGAGGUUGACAAAAAAUACCUCGCCCCUGUAACUCAUAUGUGGGCUUAGAAGGGGAAUUGAGAUUUUUGCUUUAGAAUUCACUGCCCAAAUUUUGUUUACACUCCCAAGGGGGCAGUUGCUCAGCUCAGAGCCUAUCAGAGCAACAAUAAAAUAAAGAAAGGCAAUACUGAAAUUUACACAGACACCAACUUUGGAAGGCCAGACUGUUUACAGAAUGCUCUGCCAGCAUAUAUAAAUAAACAAUUCAUUUAUAAAAAACUAAACAUCUGCACAAAACUAAAUUAGCGCAAUUGAACUCCCUUCUCCCACCACUUAAUUCGCUUGUCCUAAAUAAGUAUUUUUCUCUAUUAAAUAGUAACAUACUUCUCCCUGGGAAUGUGCCUGAGUCUAGCAGUUCAUUCAUCAUUAUAGGCCUCAAACUCCAGUCAGCUGAGGAAUGUUUCCCUAUGACUACACUAAAUUAGGAACAUUUCCAAAGCAUUAUUCUUUCUCUGGCCCUUUUCAGAGUCUGUUGCAGUACCCUUGCUGGUCCCACUGAUGCAUGGACAAGGCUUUCUGCUCAUAGCUGCCUCAUAUCCCACCACACUGCAGCACAGCAAGCAAGCUGCCCUCCCUCUGUAGGGACACAAAGACUGCCGCUCAGCUCGAGGUGCUGAAGACACACUAACUGACAUUCAGUGUAAAAAUGCUAACUCUUGCAAUCAAACCCGCAAUUCACUUUGUGUUUUCUGUACUUGAAGUCCCAAGCUUUCUCUUUUUAAGUAAAAAUACUGUUAGCAUACAUAGAAUUUCCAUGUUUUAUUUUAUCAGCCUGUGUUCUCCCUGGUGUAGAACAGAAAGAAAAAAGGGCCGUAUAUUUUCUUUAAGUCACCAGUUGGUCCUCCUUUAAGGACCUUGUAAGACAGUUUUUUUGUGUAUUGUUUCUCUGCAUAUGUGGGCAGCUUUACUACUUCAUCCCCCUCAGGACCACUUAACAACAUCAGCAAAGCAAUUAAGUGUAGUUUUCAGGAAAAUGCCAGAGGCAUUACACUGUCUGGAUGGGAGUCUCAACCCAAUUAUUUUCAGCUAGUUGUGAACUGUGGAAAGUGGACUUUACUUCAUUAUAACUUCAGUUCCCACUGAUUAAAAGUCUAGUGUGUUACAGACAGUAAGGAAAAAUGAAAACAAUUAAACUUUCCGUCAAUAAAAUGGCUGCAUAUUCUUCAACAUAGGAGUUUACUUCUCUCCAGAGAAGUGAUUAAAAUGAACUGAUUGAACUAUAAUUUGAUUGACUGAAGAGCCUCAAUCCAUUGCACUAAAGCUUAAAUUCCAUCUUAUUGCUCUAUUUAACUCUGAAUAUAAAAAAAUUACUGACAGUCUCACAAACCUCUUACACAGUCAUCCAGUUGAAAUUUUUACUACUCACAGGCUGUGGUAGAUUCCAUUCCUUUUCUGCAUGAUUCACAACAGACUGAUGUUGAAAAUUGGCAAAGACCCCUAAGAAAUGACAUUAAUAUAGCUUUAAAAUCUUUAUCUGGUACCUAUGACAUAAUAGUCAUUUGGGGAUUCUAAACUCACCCACAGAUAGAGUUGACCUAAGAAAAUGAAAAAGGAUGAUAUUCAGGUUGUCUACAGCUGUUGCAGCAAGAAAAUAAUCUCCUCAUGAAAACCAAAGCCAUGAGGCUUCCAUGUGGUAGGAAGCCUCCUACCCAAGAUCUGCUUUCAGCAAGGUGUGAAGUUGCCAGAUGCACAGGUUUGUUUGCAUACAUAUAUGUGCCUCUUUCCUUCAAGGAGAUAUUAAAGAAAGACACACAUUAGCCUGGUCUCAGUGGUAAAUUGUGCUGGCUAAGAAUCAAGAUGCCUAGGUUCCCAGGCAAACAUCAUUUUCUUUGGAACUUGGGGCAAAUUUCUACAGUGUGUUUAUUCUACAAGACUACCAUCUCUACAGAUGAGUAACUGUCCUGCCAAAUUCUGAGACUCCUGGUGCACUAACAAAAGCUAGUCAAGAAACAUUAAGACAAGCAUGCUUUCAUUGACAAGCUACUAUGAUACAGAAAAUACCCAACUCAGCAUUCACUGCUCUGAAAAUUUAACUGAAAUGACAUUCCCCUUUAGAAGGUUGCCACUCUAUUGUUUGACAUUUUGUUUCUCUAUUUCUACUUCAUAUUUUGAACUAAAACACAGCAUUUGAAGUACAGCUGUACUGCACUAAAAUCGAAUUGGAAUAUAUUAUAGCUUUAAAUUAAAUUAUGUUGGUAAUUAAUUGAAUGAGGCUGGGUAAGAUGAGCAAAUAAAGAUGGGCAACAAGCACUGGGUUAAAUUCUUACAUGCUUCCUUUCACAGGCAGCUCAAACUGCCUGUGAAACAAACUCAAAACAAAAGGAAGGCAGUGGAUAUUUUUCUGUUAACAUCAGCAUUUGUUACUGAGCUCAUUCUGCUGUUGAGCUUCACACUUCUGGCUGUGACUGACCUACAACGCUAGCUUCACAAGCGAGCCAUAGAUCUAACGCAAACAGUUCCAACCUUUAGAUACUGCCAAACCCGGCCUUACAGGGAUUUCUGACCACACUCAAGGGUCACUAAUUCACUAUAUUGUUUGGUUCUACUAUGCAUAGUUUAUACCACAAACAUGAAAUUCUCCGUGUUUGUUAGCCAAAAGCUACAAAGACUGCACUAGAGUCACUAAGGGAAUAUUGCUGCACUAAGGUAAAAUGCUGCCUGUCUAACAUAGAAGGUCCACUUUUUCCACUUUUGACUAAUUUUGUAACAUAACUCUCAAUAACUGCCUUGCAUUACUGGCCUUUUCUUUUGUCUCUCCCUUCGUUUUGAUUACCAAAUACUAUGUUAUUCUCUACUUCACCUCAACUAACUAACUGUGAAUGACAAAUACACAGUAACAGGAAAGGAGACAAGGGCAAAUGCUCAACCACAAAUUCCUAGGUGCCUCUAGAGACUGCAGGAUGUUUGUUACAUUCCCUGUUACCAGUUUUAUGUUACACACAACAAAGGCACUUUGGGCACUAAACAGCCUAAAUGCCUAUUUGAACCUUUCAGUUCUUACAUAGAUACACUCUCGCAAUUUACAAACCCACCUUUGUCUGCAUAACAGCUGCAUAAGAAGGAGCUGUGUUUGAAGUCAUUUUCUUGCAGAACAAGAAACAUUUUUGACAGCAAAAAGACAAGCCCCAAGCGUGAAAGUAGCCCCAAGUCUUCUCUUUCUCUGAAAUUAGAACGUGGCAUUUAUUUGUCUUUCAUAGUGCUCCUACAGCCAUGGCAGCAAACAGCACAUGGGCAGGGUUUCUUACCAUGCUGACAGAACAGUCAUGAGUAAGCUGAGCAGCAUGCAAACAAUGUCAAGAUGAAGGCAAGGCCUCCUUCCAAGUCCAACCUGUGAGAAGCAGAUGAAGAGGCAUUUCCUCACUCAAGCAAUUGCUUAAUAUAUGCCCCUCCCUGCAAAGCAUCAUCAACUGUAUGGUCAGGAACUUGCCAACACCUCCACCAAACUACACUGGACAUCCGGGGAGGGAAAAAAAAAA